GCCGGGCGUGUUGGCACACGCCUGUAGUCCCAGCUACUCGGGAGGCUGAGGCAGGAGAAUUGCUUGAACCCGGGAGGCAGAGGUUGCGGUGAGCUGAGAUCAUGCCACUGCACUCCAGCCUGGGUGACAGAGCAAGACUCUGUCUCAG
rnacentral:SRP_RNA from 1 species